rnacentral:lncRNA from 1 species
GGUAGCAAAUAAGGUAAUUUCAUUUAGGCUUUUAGUGACAAGCAAGUUGGACUUAUAACAAAAAAAAAAAUAAUAAAAUACUUGAUAAUUAUUUGCCCGAUUCGAUAUGAAUAUAUGAUACAAAUGCUAACCUAACCUAGAAGCUUAGCUAGUUCAUCGACUCUAAGAGUCGCUUGUGGAGCUACAUCAAGAUAGCUCUCCUUUAAAUCCUUCUUUCGGGUUCUCGUGUUCUUGUUUUUCCCGCCUUUCUUUGGCACCGAAACAGUUACUACCUCGUUCUCGACUGUUUCUUCAUCUUCUUGCUUCUCUGAUGUCGCCGUUACCACCUUCUUAGCCCGUUGGAGUCUAAAAGUGGGCCCGGGCUGCGCGGAUUUCGAAAAAGCAACCGCCUUUGCAUACACCAUGUCGGCAUCCAAAUGGGAAUCUUCUAGAACAUACGCAAUCCCGUCUUGGACCGCUUGCUUUAAGAGUGACAUCACUCCCGUUAAAGAAUCUUGAUUACUCGUGUUUUCUGAUGCAUUGUUUUCGAUAUCAACGUGUGUUAUGCUUUCAUCAUCAUCAUCCGAUACGCUUUCAUCAUCAUCGGACACGCUUUCAUCAUCAUCAGACACGGUUUUAUCGUCAUCAAACACGCUUUUAUCGUCGUUGGUUGUUGAAACUACAGUAUCAUUUUGUUCAGAUUCAGAUUCGGGGUCGGGAUUCUUUGCUUCUCGAGGCUUGUCUUCUUCUGUGAACAUGGAUUUCCAAUUUUGCCCACGCCACAUAAGUAUGUGUUCAUGCUCAAAUGAAAUCAACACACAUGGAACAAGAUCCUGCAGUGUCAAAAACGAAAUUACCAAAUGCUUCGUAAUUUUGACCCGUUCAUUGCAGUUCUGUUUUAUGCUUACCGGGUUAAGCAGGCAAAUUAAAUUAAAAAAAAAAAAAAAAACAGUUUUAAAGAUGCAGGUCAACCAGAUCAAACCUCUUGAAUCAUUUUAUGCAACAAAUAAGAUUAUUAUAAAAAUAAUAUAACUUUGAGUAAAGUAUACCAAAAAUUUGGAUUUGGUCCCUAGCUUUCCAAAAGUACAUGGAUGGUCCCUAUGGGAUUACCUGCUUAUGCUUAUAAUACCAUAGUUGUUAAUAGCGAAUAGCGACAAGCUACCAACACGCUACGUAUGAUAGCGAUGAAAUAGCGGGCACUAUUUUAGUUAAGCGAUACACUAGAAGAUAAUUUUAGAAAUAUUUUAUUUUAUAUGUGUAUUUUAACAGUAUUUUAUCAAAAUACGCUGUUUUCAUAUGUAUAUUUGAAAAAAAAUGAAAAUCCUGCUUUUUAUAGGCAUAUAUUUAAGGCUGGCAAAUCGUGUCUUAGCAGGUUUAACAGGUCUCUGACGACGCGAACAACACAAGUUUUAAACAUGAAUACGACUCGUUUAACUACUUUAUAUCCAAUGUCUAUAACACAGUUGUAUGUUUUAUAAACCAAGAAGGAGAAUUGAUGGAUCCUAACCCUCUAAAUUUAAUUAUUUUUAAGAAAGUGAAAAUUCACAUGGUGUACUUUUCGGUAAACAGGUCUAACCGUGUCUUAUACAGGUUACCUGUCUUAUCCUGUUACAUGAUGAAAUGUUAAAAAUGGCUUUUAUAAGAAUGAUGCUCGACAAACGAAGAAUAUAUAUAAAAGGCAAAGCAUUGUGUCUCACUACUCACUCUAGCGAAUCACAUGGUGCCACAUGGCGGCCUCUUUUUUUAUUAUAAUUUUUAACUCUUUUGUUUUUUUUUUCCCGUUUACACCUUUAACUUUGUUAAUAUACUGUAUACAUGUUCAGUCCUUCUACUUUAACUUUCCUAAUAUACAUGUUUAGUCCCUCUGCUUUAAUAAAGUUUUUUUCUUAUUGGUUAACUUUGUUUAUAUACAUGUUUAGUCUCUCUACUUUAACUUUAGCAAUAUACAUGUUUAGUCCCUCUACUUUUAUUCCUUUUAGUAUUUCGCCAUUUAGUGUUUUUUUCUUACUAACGUGACGAACCGACCCGACUCC